AGGAUUGCCCUUUCAUCGAAAUGGGGCCGCAGUGCGCGUGCACUGGAAACACUUAGGUGACUAAAGAGAACGGUAGUAGCAAGGGGCAAAUUUUAUAUGAUAACUAAAGUGAUUUGAGCGUCCCGGUUGAGAUCUGAGAUUAAUUGUCAAGAUGAACUGAGACUGCGUUCGACGCAGUCGCUAUCGGUCACUACCCGUAGUGGCCGCUUAACACUGUUUGAGGCUUGCAUUUAAAAGGAUUUAACACUUGAGGCAGGCGAGCCGCAAUACUUCUAUAAUUCUCGAGCAGUUCGACAGCGGAGGGAGCCCUGUUGGUGUCGUCGUAGCCGAACAGUAUGCAUGAGAACAUCUGUGUCGGAAACAUUACUGGCUCCCUAAGAUCAAGCCGUCCCGCAAGCAGCAAGGCGACGGCGAGGCGCUCUAGCCGCAGGUGUUGUUGCUGUCAUCCAGGGGCACCGACACCCCGCAGCUCGGCUGGACAUCAGAGCGCGAUUGGUGGUAGUCCGGUUUCUUUUUUUCCUUGCGCACCAAGCCAUGCUUCGUGACGAGGUUGGGUCCCGGCUCCAGACAUGUCUAGAUGGCGCGAAGACGGCUUUCGCCGCGAAAGCCAACAUCAGUGACGGCUACCGUUUUGGGGAUUCCUCGCCACCGCCGCAGCUCGCAGGGGGACCUGUCCCUGCAGAGUCAAGCGCUGGCGAACCUGACUGCGUCAGUGGCGCAGAAAUCGAGCACGAGGACGACCUGGUUGUGCCGGCCACUGACGCCUGAGGACGUGGUGGCCUUCCUAUGGAGGUUCACCCUCUGCAGUUAUUCUCCAGUGCGCUCGACGAGGUGGCGAAGACAGCUUCAGCAUCGGCACGGAAUGAAGCAUCGACCUGCACCGCGAUGAGCGAUCGUGGCCAGCAUCCAGAGGUGGUUCUGCUGGACUGGCGCCGCGGACCGCUAGGACACGUCAAACGUAUUACACAAAGGAGGUUAUUAGCACAUUGAAAUAAUUCUCACGCGGACACUAUGGGUUUCUAUAACAUUUGCCACCCCCUCUCCAUCCCCCCUCGUUUCAAAUUGGAUGCCAAUAAAUCAUCAUCGUUGAGGUGGAGGGCUGAGGGGAGGAACGUUCUAGAAUACGUGGGUAAGUAUAGUUAGUGCGAUGUAUGUAUGCUGUAUAGUUAGUGCGAUGUAUGUAUGUAUGUAAGCUGUUCUGUAUGUUGCGCAUUCGCCUGCGUGUAUGUGUUGGACUUUAUGCAAUAGAGAAUAAACAUUCGAAAGUUGUCGCUCC